AAUGUGCUGACGGGCUCAGC
rnacentral:misc_RNA from 1 species